GCAAGUCGAGCGGAUGAGAGGAGCUUGCUCCUCGAUUCAGCGGCGGACGGGUGAGUAAUGCCUAGGAAUCUGCCUAGUAGUGGGGGACAACGUUUCGAAAGGAACGCUAAUACCGCAUACGUCCUACGGGAGAAAGUGGGGGAUCUUCGGACCUCACGCUAUUAGAUGAGCCUAGGUCGGAUUAGCUAGUUGGUAGGGUAAAGGCCUACCAAGGCGACGAUCCGUAACUGGUCUGAGAGGAUGAUCAGUCACACUGGAACUGAGACACGGUCCAGACUCCUACGGGAGGCAGCAGUGGGGAAUAUUGGACAAUGGGCGAAAGCCUGAUCCAGCCAUGCCGCGUGUGUGAAGAAGGCCCUCGGGUCGUAAAGCACUUUAAGUUGGGAGGAAGGGCUUACAGCGAAUACCUGUGAGUUUUGACGUUACCGACAGAAUAAGCACCGGCUAACUUCGUGCCAGCAGCCGCGGUAAUACGAAGGGUGCAAGCGUUAAUCGGAAUUACUGGGCGUAAAGCGCGCGUAGGUGGCUUGAUAAGUUGGAUGUGAAAUCCCCGGGCUCAACCUGGGAACUGCAUCCAAAACUGUCUGGCUAGAGUGCGGUAGAGGGUAGUGGAAUUUCCAGUGUAGCGGUGAAAUGCGUAGAUAUUGGAAGGAACACCAGUGGCGAAGGCGACUACCUGGACUGACACUGACACUGAGGUG
rnacentral:rRNA from 1 species